rnacentral:rRNA from 1 species
AGUGAACGCUGGCGGUAGGCCUAACACAUGCAAGUCGAACGGCAGCACAGUAAGAGCUUGCUCUUACGGGUGGCGAGUGGCGGACGGGUGAGGAAUACAUCGGAAUCUACUUUUUCGUGGGGGCUAACGUAGGGAAACUUACGCUACUACCGCAUACGACCUACGGGUGAAAGCAGGGGAUCUUCGGACCUUGCGCGAUUGAAUGAGCCGAUGUCGGAUUAGCUAGUUGGCGGGGUAAAGGCCCACCAAGGCGACGAUCCGUAGCUGGUCUGAGAGGAUGAUCAGCCACACUGGAACUGAGACACGGUCCAGACUCCUACGGGAGGCAGCAGUGGGGAAUAUUGGACAAUGGGCGCAAGCCUGAUCCAGCCAUACCGCGUGUGUGAAGAAGGCCUUCGGGUUGUAAAGCCCUUUUGUUGGGAAAGAAAAGCAGCAGGUUAAUACCCCGCUGUUCUGACGGUACCCAAAGAAUAAGCACCGGCUAACUUCGUG